rnacentral:rRNA from 1 species
CCUACGGGUGACAGCAGUGAGGAAUAUUGGUCAAUGGACGCAAGGCUGAACCAGCCAAGCCGCGUGCAGGAAGACGGAUCUAUGGUUUGUAAACUUCUUUUAUAGGGGAGUAAAGGUAUCUACGUGUGUAUAUUUGCAUGUAUCCUAUGAAUAAGCAUCGGCUAACUCCGUGCCAGCAGCCGCGGUAAUACGGAGGAUCCGAGCGUUAUCCGGAUUUAUUGGGUUUAAAGGGUGCGUAGGUUGUUUUUUAAGUCAGAGGUGAAAGUUUGUGGCUCAACCAUAAAAUUGCCGUUGAAACUGGACGACUUGAGUGUAUGUGAGGUAGGCGGAAUGCGUGGUGUAGCGGUGAAAUGCAUAGAGAUCACGCAGAACACCGAUGGCGAAGGCAGCUUACUAAACUAUAACUGACACUGAGGCACGAAAGCGUGGGGAGCAAACAGGAUUAGAUACCCCGGUAGUC